rnacentral:rRNA from 1 species
UACGUAGGGUGCGAGCGUUGUCCGGAUUUAUUGGGCGUAAAGAGCUCGUAGGCGGUUUGUCGCGUCGGCCGUGAAAUCUCCACGCUUAACGUGGAGCGUGCGGUCGAUACGGGCAGACUUGAGUUCGGUAGGGGAGACUGGAAUUCCUGGUGUAGCGGUGAAAUGCGCAGAUAUCAGGAGGAACACCGGUGGCGAAGGCGGGUCUCUGGGCCGAUACUGACGCCGAGGAGCGAAAGCGUGGGGAGCGAACAGG